rnacentral:rRNA from 1 species
GACGAACGCUGGCGUCGUGCUUAACACAUGCAAGUCGAACUGACAGGCCCCUCUUUUGUGCGUUGCUCGAGUUGCUAACGGGAGCGUAACGCGUGAGUAACCUGCCCUUGACUUUCGGCUAACUUCACGAAACUUUGUCUAAUACCCGAUAGGCUCUCCCGCUGCCUGGUGGGGGUUGGAUAGUUUCUUCGGUUGGGGAUGGACUCGCGGCAUAUCAGCUUUUUUGUGGGGUAGUGGAUUACCAAGGCUUUGACGGGUAGCCUGCCUGUGAGGGUGACCGGAGACAAUGGGAGUGAUAAACGGGCGAGACUCCUAUGGGAGGCAGGAAUGGGGAAAAUUGCAUAAUGGGCGGAGACCUGAAGCAGUAAUGUGGCGUGCAGGAUGGCGGACUUAGGGGUGUAUACCGCUUUCGGCUGUGACGAAGAGUGAGUGAAAGUGAUGGGUAAAGAAGCACCGGCUAACUCCGUG